rnacentral:rRNA from 1 species
UGGGGAAUAUUGUACAAUGGAGGGAACUCUGAUGCAGCGACGCCGCGUGAGUGAUGAAGGAAUUCGUUUCGUAAAACUCUGUUCUAUGGGAAGAAAAGGACUGUACCAUAGGAGAAAGCUCCGGCUAAAUACGUGCCAGCAGCCGCGGUAAUACGUAUGGAGCGAGCGUUGUCCGGAAUUAUUGGGCGUAAAGGGUGCGCAGGCGGCUUUACAAGUUGGAUGUGAAAUAUUGUGGCUCAACCACAAACGUGCAUCCAAAACUGCAAAGCUUGAGUUAAGGAGAGGUAAGUGGAAUUCCUGGUGUAGCGGUGGAAUGCGUAGAUAUCAGGGGGAAUACCGGUGGCGAAGGCGACUUACUGGACUUAAACUGACGCUCAGGCACGAAAGCGUGGGGAGCAAACAGG